rnacentral:rRNA from 1 species
UACGUAGGUGGCAAGCGUUAUCCGGAAUUAUUGGGCGUAAAGAGCGCGCAGGUGGUUAAUUAAGUCUGAUGUGAAAGCCCACGGCUUAACCGCGGAGGGUCAUUGGAAACUGGUUGACUUGAGUGCAGAAGAGGGAAGUGGAAUUCCAUGUGUAGCGGUGAAAUGCGUAGAGAUAUGGAGGAACACCAGUGGCGAAGGCGGCUUCCUGGUCUGCAACUGACACUGAGGCGCGAAAGCGUGGGGAGCAAACAGG